rnacentral:rRNA from 1 species
GACGGAGGAUGCAAGCGUUAUCCGGAAUUAUUGGGCGUAAAGCGUCCGUAGGCGGUUCAUCAAGUCUGUUGUCAAAGACUGCAGCUCAACUGUGGAAAGGCAAUGGAAACUGAGGAACUGGAGUGCGGUAGGGGCAGAGGGAAUUCCCAGUGUAGCGGUGAAAUGCGUAGAUAUUGGGAAGAACACCAGUGGCGAAGGCGCUCUGCUGGGCCGUAACUGACGCUGAGGGACGAAAGCUAGGGGAGCGAAAGGG